ACCUACAGCCAUGCCACCCUGAACACACCCAAUCUCAUCUGAUCUCGGAAGCUAAGCAGGGUCGGGCCUGGUUAGUACUUGGAUGGGAGACCACCUAGGAAUACCAGGUGCUGUAGGCG
rnacentral:rRNA from 1 species